CCAUCAAUUCAUUUCACUUUCAUUUGGACUAAUUAAUUCUUUUAAUGAUUUAAUGCUUUACACCGCAUAAUUGGCCAGCGAUUUCUGAAUUCAAGAAACCAUUCGAAACCGAAACGUCAUUAAGAACUUAAUCAAUAUAGCGAUAUAAAUCUAACUCGCAAGCACUACAAUCGGCACUUUUAACACUUCUCCCCAACAUCCGUUAGUUCGUGUAGUUCAAGUGAUUGCCGGAUUUCAGUUGCAGCCACUCGAAAGACCCUCCCACUCUUCCUGUCUCAAUAACGCCUCACCGGAGAAACCCGGAAGUCGCUGGACGGACUCGAAGCCCGCCGGAGCCAAAUGGAGAUCGAAGAGAGUCUCCUCCUUCCUCGUUUUCGGAUAAUCGCUUUGCUCGUUCUCUUGGAUUUUCUCGAAUCUUUACUCGUGCGAUAAUUCAUGGGAUUCAUAUACGCAAUCAAUGUUGAUAGCCACGUUGUUGAAGAAACAAGUUUAGGGUGGACUAGAAACUAACCUACAAAAUAAAUCAUGUUUGAAUAAUUGUUUCUUGUUUGAUAGAUUUGAAUGAUGUAUGAAAUUUUAGUAUUUUAUGAAAUUUGAUUUUAAUUAUAUUGUCACAUUAGUGUUA
rnacentral:lncRNA from 1 species